CAAAUACGAAUCAUACAUAUAUAGCCCUUGUUUUUAGGAGCCUAUGUCUUCUGGGAAAAGCAGGUGUGUUUUGUAAUUACAAGUGUUUGAUAAUACCCAGGGAGGUAUUUAUAAGCACUGUGGGUGUCUAGUGUGCUGGGCCUAAAUCAGCCUGAAAAAUAAGAGGUAUCAUCUGUGGAUUUUCAAGUCCUUUAUCCCAUUUAACCCCCUAGAGAACCCCGAGAGGUUGGAAAUAUUGCCCCAUUUCAACAGAAGGCCCAGAAAAAUCAAGGCACAGUGGCCAGCGUUCUCUGCUGCACCUGGAAGGUACUAGACACCCUGAGGCAUCCUUGCUAGGCCUAAGCUGUGGCCACUGCAGAGGUCCAGAUACUUCCAGGAAGGUCUGAUUGUCAGUGAGGCAGUCUCUGUGUGCAGCCAGGAAUCUCUGAGUGCAAAGGACAGAGGAAUAGAAAUCUAGCAGGACAGGCUUGGCUACAAUCCCACAUCUCAGGGCCAGAGAGCAGAAGAGAUUCUGAAUGGAGUGAGAUGACCAUCUCUGGUCUCUUACUUAGGCCCAGUCCACAGGCUCAUGUCUGGGGCCCUGGAGGAGUGAGGGCAGCAAAGAAGAACAGACAAUGGGCUCCACGCAGACCUCUGCAACACACUGGAGCCUGAGCCCACUGCUGCAGGACCCAUCAACUACAAGGAGGAGGGAGAAGGUGUAUGACCCCCCCCCACACCCGCAACUCUCCCAUGAUCUCCAUGGACACCCAAAGAUAAACACUGCAGCACCCAGCAAAGACGUGGUACUUGGUGUUGGAGUGUGGAUAUGAGUCAUGGAACUCUGGGGCUAUGUUGCUGCCAGGUAAGAAUCUGUUCUAGGAAGGAUAAAAUCAAUGGACAUAGAAAGGCAGACUGGAGAAGGGAAAGGGAGCUGAG
rnacentral:lncRNA from 1 species